rnacentral:rRNA from 1 species
UACGGAGGGUGCAAGCGUUAUCCGGAUUCACUGGGUUUAAAGGGUGCGUAGGUGGGUUUGUAAGUCAGUGGUGAAAUCUCCAAGCUUAACUUGGAACUGCCGUUGAUACUAUAAAUCUUGAAUGUUGUGGAGGUGAGCGGAAUAUGUCAUGUAGCGGUGAAAUGCUUUAGAUAUGAACAUAGAACACCAAUUGCGAAGGCAGCUCACUAACACAAAG